rnacentral:rRNA from 1 species
AUUGAACGCUGGCGGCAUGCCUUACACAUGCAAGUCGAACGGUAACGGGCCUUCGGGUGCCGACGAGUGGCGAACGGGUGAGUAAUAUAUCGGAACGUACCUUUCAGUGGGGGAUAACGUAGCGAAAGUUACGCUAAUACCGCAUAUUCUGUGCGCAGGAAAGCAGGGGACCUUCGGGCCUUGCGCUGAUUGAGCGGCCGAUAUCAGAUUAGCUAGUUGGUGAGGUAAAGGCUCACCAAGGCGACGAUCUGUAGCGGGUCUGAGAGGAUGAUCCGCCACACUGGAACUGCAACACGGUCCAGACUCCUACGGGAGGCAGCAUUGAGGAAUUUUGGACAAUGGGGGCAACCCUGAUCCAGCCAUGCCGCGUGAGUGAAGAAGGCCUUCGGGUUGUAAAGCUCUUUCGGCCGGGAAGAAAUCGUAUGGGCUAAUACCCUGUGCGGAUGACGGUACCGGCAUAAGAAGCACCGGCUAACUACGUGCCAGCCGCCGCCGUAAGAC